rnacentral:rRNA from 1 species
UACGGGGGGGCAAGCGUUGUUCGGAAUUACUGGGCGUAAAGGGCUCGUAGGUGGCCAACUAAGUCAGACGUGAAAUCCCUCGGCUUAACCGGGGAACUGCGUCUGAUACUGGAUGGCUUGAGUUCGGGAGAGGGAUGCGGAAUUCCGAGGUGUAGCGGUGAAAUGCGUAGAUAUUAGGAAGAACACCGGUGGCGAAGGCGGCCCACUGGAUCGGUACUGACGCUGGAGGUGCGAAAGCGUGGGGAGCAAACAGG